AACGAACGCUGGCGGCGCGCCUAAUACAUGCAAGUCGAGCGAGAAGACGUAGCAAUACGUUUGUAAAGCGGCGAACGGGUGAGGAAUACAUGGGUAACCUACCCUCGAGUGGGGAAUAACUAGCCGAAAGGUUAGCUAAUACCGCAUACGACUCUCGGUCUGCGGAUCGGGAGGGAAAGCGAUACCGUGGGUAUCGCGCUCUUGGAUGGGCUCAUGUCCUAUCAGCUUGUUGGUGAGGUAACGGCUCACCAAGGCUUCGACGGGUAGCUGGUCUGAGAGGACGAUCAGCCACACUGGCACUGCGACACGGGCCAGACUCCUACGGGUGGCUG
rnacentral:rRNA from 1 species